ACAGGACUCCUUCCUCAUUCAGAGCACUUGGUGGACCAACUCUGGGAGUGAAUCAAGUAAAGGAGACUGCUAUCUAUACGACCAAUGCUUCCUACAGAAAUUGGAAGAGCCACUCAAUAAUGUGAUGCAAACACUAGGCCUGUAAUAAUGGCAUCAGCACAACAGAUACAAGGUAAAAGGGUAAGACUGUGGCCAAUGGGAAACAGAUGAAGAGGCUGGGAAAAAUACUUAUAGGAAAAUGAUAAGUAUUAAAAUCUUUUCUAUCUACCAAAAUUCUACUCUCCAUAUUAAUAUUUAAGUAUGAGUUAGCAUGAGAAUUAUUCCUCCUAAAAUUUUAUGUAGAAUGAAAGGGGUACAGUAUAAGUGCUUUGAAUAAUAGAACAGAUUGUUGAAAGGAAGAAAUGUGAUUAUUAUUCUCUGUAAAAUGCAUGCAAAUGCAUCACCUCAUCUGUGGGGCACAUGUAUAUUCAUUAAUAAUAUUGGGUUUACAGGUAAUUGAGAAAUGCCUACAUUAACUACUUUCUUCAGCAGAGAGACAGAUUAAGAGACUUGGGAAAGGAUAUACAGGAGAAUGGAAAAUAUUAAAAUCUUUGCUAUUUACCUUUUAAUCUCCAUAUUAACAGAGAGCCACCUGUGAUGAAGAAGACUGCAAACUAUCUGAACCUAUUUGAUCAUAUUUCCUCUCAAGUGAUACAGUGGGCCAAACUCUGCUUGAUUUAUUUAUAAAAAGAGUCCCAUUUGACUUCAGUGGGAUUACUUGAGUAAGUGACCAUAGAUACAUAGAUUCCAAAACCACAGUCUGAUCAUCUAGUCUGACCUCUCAUCUAACACAGGCCACAGAACUUCCUAAAAAAGUGUCUAGAGCAGAUCUUUCAUAAAAACACUGAAUCUUGAUUUUAAAAAUUGCCAAUGAUGGAGAAUCUACCAGGAGCUGUUGGUAAAUUGUUUCAAUGGUUAAUCCCUCUUUGUCAAAAAUUCAUGCUUUAUUUCCAGUCUGAAUUUGUCUAGCUUCAACAUCCAGCCAUUGGAUUAUGCUGUAUCUUUCUCUGCUAGAUUGAAGAGCCCAUUAUUAAAUAUUUGUUCCCCAGGCAGUUUCUUAUAGACUGUGAUCAAGUGACCCCUUAGCCUUUUCUUUGUUAGACUAAAGAGAUUGAUCUCUUUGAGUCUACCGCCGUAAGGUAUAUUUUAUAAUCCUUUUUCAUUUUUGUGGCUUUUCUCUGAACCCUCUCCAAUUUAUCAACAUCCUUCUUGACUUGUGGACACCAGAACUGGGGGACAAAGUAUUCAAGCAGCAGUUGCACCAGUGCCAAACAUAGAGGUCAAAUAAUUUCUCUAUUCAUACUUGAGAUUUUUCUGUUUAUGCAUCCCAGGGUCUCAUCAGCUCUUUUGGCCACAGUGUCACACCGGAAAUUCAUGUUCAGCUGAUUAUCCACCAUGACCCCCAAAUCUUUUUUCAGAAUCACUGCUUCCCAGAACCGUGUCCUCCAUCCUCCAGCACAUUGCUGCAGCAGUGAGCUGGUGAAUGUCUUUCAGACCCCCAACGAAACAACAAAGGGGACACUAAGAUCUGAUGUGCUCCAUCUUUUGUGCAUGGUGACCACAGCCACAGAUAGAAGUUUGGAGCAAGAUGACAACCUUCAUGUGAUGCUCCUGUUAAGUAUACCAAAGAGCAGCCAUUGGAAGGAGUUACACUGACUGGUGAAAGACAUUGCAAUGCAGCAAACUGUCACUGAACAGAGUAAAAAUAUUGUUUACAUGAAAGUGGAAAUAUUGAAUAUUGAGAGCAAGUGUUCAUUUUCAUCACAAAAAUGCAUUCCUAUAUCGUGUACAUUUCAAAUAUUGUAAGCCUUUGAAAUGACUGGCAGUUUUUCUUCCCUUGCUUUGCUGAGUUUCUCUCAUCCUCAUAAUAGAGGCUUUACAUUUACAAAAUGACUAGCUUCCCUUUUUUUCCCCCCAGUGUAGUUUUGGCAGAAGAUACCUUCCCAUUUGGAAAGUCACCAAGUUCUUACCUGGCACUCUUAGCAAAACAAAUCAGCAAUGUUUUCACAAUACAAGGCCAACUGGCUUUUACAAAGUCCCUGAGAAUGUUGAUGUAAAAUCUCUCAAUAGCAAUUGCAAAUGAAACAUUUAUUUAACUUUAUGAAGUCUCAGUUGAACAGUGUUUGCUCUAGUGGAAAUACGGUGACUAGGCAGCUUCAGCAGCCUGAAUGAAACAUUAAGACAGUGUACCUGCAU